rnacentral:rRNA from 1 species
CACGUAGUUAGCCGUGACUUCCUCGCCGGGUACCAUCACUCAGAAAGCUUUCCACUCUUUCUGCCUUUUGUCCCCGGCAACAGAGCUUUACGAUCCGAAGACCUUCCUCGCUCACGCGGCAUUGCUCAUUCAGGGUUCCCCCCAUUGACGAAAAUUCCCUACUGCUGCCUCCCGCAGGAGUCUGGGCCGUGUCUCAGUCCCAGUGUGGCCGUCCGCCCUCUCAGGCCGGCUAUGCAUCGUCGCCUUGGUGAGCCGUUACCUCUCCAACCAGCUAAUGCACCGCAGGUCCAUCUGCAUGCGGGACUCUUGUCCCCUUUUCCAAAAAGAGAUGCCUCCUCUUUGCUCAUCCGGUAUCAGCUUCCGUUUCCAGUAAGUUCUCCCGCUCAUGCAGGCAGGUUCCCUACGUGUUACUCACCCGUUCGCCACUCAUAUCCGAAGAUAUCCGUUCGACUUGCAUGUAUUAGGCAUCGCCGCAGCGUUCAUCCUG